AAAAGCCCUUUUUAGGGCUAGAACAUCAGUCUGCUUUUUUUUCUGUGUAAUGUAAUUGCAGUUGCCUGCCUGCCAGCCUGUCAGGCUCACAGCAUAUACUGUGCCCACUUGCCCAGUGCCACCACUCACUCACUGGUGUCACAAUAGCUUGCAUUUAAAAAAAACAAAAAACUUUUUUGAUGUCGUGGUCGUGGUGCUGUGAUUCCCUUUGGCCCUAGAAUAAUGCCCAGUGUUCAGAGGCCACGUACCCUGAACUCGAAAAGUUCUGAGGACAUAGUUGACUGGCUAACACAGGACACCCAAUCUUGUACAGCUUCCGCUCGGAACCUUGACGCACCAUCCUCCUCCAGCUUAGCUUCAGGCACCUCUCAAGAUACCACUCACCCGCCUGCCGCCACCACCAACACUAGCACCACAGCAGCUUCACUUGGUAUGUCAGAGGAGUUAUUUACACAUCAGUUGAAAGAAAUGAGUGAUGCGCAACCAUUAUUGCCAGAGGAUGUAGAUAACAGGGAUAUGUCUCAGUCAGGCAGCAUUACACACAUGGACGUACGGUGUGAUAAUGAUGUUGUACCCGCUGCUGCUUCCUUUGCUGAGUUGUCAGAUACAAGUGAAGCGGUUGAUGAUGACGAUGCGUCCUUGGAUGUCACGUGGGUGCCUGCUAGAAGAGAAGAAGAACAGGGGGAAAGUUCAGAUGGGGAGACAGAGAGGAGGAGGAGGAGACGAGUUGGAAGCAGGGGGAGGUCGUCGCAAGGAGCUAGUGGCACAGUAAGACAGCAUGCAUCGGCACCCGGGGUCAGCCAGACAGCGGGCCAAUCAAAGCAUGCUGUUGCCACCACCAGAAUGCCGUCAUUGCAGAGCUCAGCAGUGUGGCAUUUUUUGUGUGUGUCUGCCUCUGACAACAGCGAUGCCAUUUGCACCUGUGCCAAAAGAAAGUGAAUCAGGUGAAGUCCAACACCCACCUCGGUACAACUGCUUUGUGAAGGCACAUGAUUGCACAUCACAAACGCCUAUGGGAUCAACACAUGAGUACAAGCAGCACACAAACUCAAAGCCGCCAUCCUCCUUCUGGUCCAGUAUCUUCAGCCACGUUAACCACUGCUGUCCUCCUUGCCCCCUCUCAACCAUCCGCCCCUCCGUAUCUCGCCUUGAGCAGUUCCUGCUCAUCUGCCCACUGUCAAGUGUCUGUCAAGGACAUGUUUGAACGUAAGAAGCCAAUGUCACAAAGUCACCCCCUUGCCUGGCGUCUGACAGCUGGCUUGACUGAACUCUUAGCCCGCCAGCUUUUACCAUACAAGCUGGUGGAGUCUGAGGCGUUCAAAAAAUUUGUAGCUAUUGGGACACCGCAGUGGAAGGUACCCGGACGAAAUUUCUUUGCACAAAAGGAAAUCCCCAACCUGUACUCGAUUGUGCAAAAUGAAGUAAUGGCAUGUCUGGCACACAGUGUUGGGGCAAGGAUCCAUCUGACCACUGAUACCUGGUCUGCAAAGUAUGGUCAGGGCAGGUAUAUCACCUACACUGCGCAUUGGGUAAACCUGCUGACGGCUGCCAAGCAUGGAAUGCGUGGCUCUGCAGAGGAGUUGGUG
rnacentral:lncRNA from 1 species